rnacentral:rRNA from 1 species
UUGUUAGUGGCAGACGGGUGAGUAAUGCGUAGGAAUCUACCUAGUAGUAUGGAAUAGCCAUUAGAAAUGAUGGGUAAUACUGUAUAAUCCCUGCGGGGGAAAGAUUUAUCGCUAUUAGAUGAGCCUACGUUAGAUUAGCUAGUUGGUAAGGUAAUGGCUUACCAAGGCUAUGAUCUAUAGCUGGUCUGAGAGGACGAUCAGCCACACUGGAACUGAGAUACGGUCCAGACUCCUACGGGAGGCAGCAGUGGGGAAUAUUGGACAAUGGGCGAAAGCCUGAUCCAGCUAUGCCGCGUGAGUGAAGAAGGCCUUCGGGUUGUAAA